AUUGAACGCUGGCGGCAGGCCUAACACAUGCAAGUCGAACGGUAGCACAGAGAGCUUGCUCUCGGGUGACGAGUGGCGGACGGGUGAGUAAUGUCUGGGAAACUGCCUGAUGGAGGGGGAUAACUACUGGAAACGGUAGCUAAUACCGCAUAACGUCGCAAGACCAAAGAGGGGGACCUUCGGGCCUCUUGCCAUCAGAUGUGCCCAGAUGGGAUUAGCUAGUAGGUGGGGUAAUGGCUCACCUAGGCGACGAUCCCUAGCUGGUCUGAGAGGAUGACCAGCCACACUGGAACUGAGACACGGUCCAGACUCCUACGGGAGGCAGCAGUGGGGAAUAUUGCACAAUGGGCGCAAGCCUGAUGCAGCCAUGCCGCGUGUAUGAAGAAGGCCUUCGGGUUGUAAAGUACUUUCAGCGGGGAGGAAGGUGUUGCGGUUAAUAACCGCAGCAAUUGACGUUACCCGCAGAAGAAGCACCGGCUAACUCCGUGCCAGCAGCCGCGGUAAUACGGAGGGUGCAAGCGUUAAUCGGAAUUACUGGGCGUAAAGCGCACGCAGGCGGUCUGUCAAGUCGGAUGUGAAAUCCCCGGGCUCAACCUGGGAACUGCAUUCGAAACUGGCAGGCUAGAGUCUUGUAGAGGGGGGUAGAAUUCCAGGUGUAGCGGUGAAAUGCGUAGAGAUCUGGAGGAAUACCGGUGGCGAAGGCGGCCCCCUGGACAAAGACUGACGCUCAGGUGCGAAAGCGUGGGGAGCGAACAGGAUUAGAUACCCUGGUAGUCCACGCCGUAAACGAUGUCGACUUGGAGGUUGUUCCCUUGAGGAGUGGCUUCCGGAGCUAACGCGUUAAGUCGACCGCCUGGGGAGUACGGCCGCAAGGUUAAAACUCAAAUGAAUUGACGGGGGCCCGCACAAGCGGUGGAGCAUGUGGUUUAAUCCGAUGCAACGCGAAGAACCUUACCUACUCUUGACAUCCAGAGAACUUAGCAGAGAUGCUUUGGUGCCUUCGGGAACUCUGAGACAGGUGCUGCAUGGCUGUCGUCAGCUCGUGUUGUGAAAUGUUGGGUUAAGUCCCGCAACGAGCGCAACCCUUAUCCUUUGUUGCCAGCGGUUAGGCCGGGAACUCAAAGGAGACUGCCAGUGAUAAACUGGAGGAAGGUGGGGAUGACGUCAAGUCAUCAUGGCCCUUACGAGUAGGGCUACACACGUGCUACAAUGGCGCAUACAAAGAGAAGCGACCUCGCGAGAGCAAGCGGACCUCAUAAAGUGCGUCGUAGUCCGGAUUGGAGUCUGCAACUCGACUCCAUGAAGUCGGAAUCGCUAGUAAUCGUAGAUCAGAAUGCUACGGUGAAUACGUUCCCGGGCCU
rnacentral:rRNA from 1 species